UUGAAAAGGCAAUGAGCAAUGUUUUGGAUUGGAGUGAUUUGAUGGUUGUAAGAAUGCUGAGAAGAUAAUUAAACUUUGUAAGCAAAUAUCAUUCAUUAUGGCAAAUCCAAGGAAGUUUAGUGAAAAAAUAGCGCUUCACAAUCAAAAACAAGCAGAGGAGACCGCUGCUUUUGAGCAAGUGAUGCGUGAAGUGAUGGGAGCUACGAGGAAUGCUCAACCACAGUAUCUACACCUCAGUCCUACUCUUGGCUCUUACAGAGGUGGGUCUCUUCCAAAUGUUAACCAGAUUGGAAACAACAGCAUUGAUCUUCAGAGUGCUCUCACCAAUCUUGAGGACAUGAAGCAAGGAAAAGAUCAUGCUGUAUCUGAUAGAAUACACAGAGAGCGAGGCCGGCAGAUAUCUCCUCAUCGGUCAAGGCAGUUUCCUUUUGAGAAGCAUAUUGAUGUUUCCCCUUAUGGAUCAACUGCUUAUCUCUCUCCUCCUCCAGACACUAAUUGGAGAAGAACAAACUCAGAUUCUGCAUUACACCAAAGUGCAAUGAAUCCACAAGAAAACAUUUAUGGAGUUAAUUCCUCACCUGUAAGACGAGUUCAUGACAUGGACAGUGGUAUGAUGCAUGAUACAUACAACAAUCACGUGAAGGAAUACUGGGACCCCAGAAAGCAACCACAAGAACCUCGUCAAGUAGGUUUAUCUCCACCGUCACCUCACGCACGUCCCAAAUCAUGUGAAGUUCCUGAUAUCAACAUUUAUCCUUCACAAGAAGAAAGCAAUUUAAUUCAUGUACCAAUUUCCAACAACACUGGCUCCUUGCCAGAUUUAACCAAUCUCCACUUUCCCUCACCUUUGGCCACACCACUGGAUGUAGAAGAUCAGUCAGGUUUGGUCUACAGCCAACACAGUCCUUCUCAAUCUAAUGUAGUUACUUACUCUCAUCUGUCUUCUCUAUCGCCUCAACAGCAUCAUACACAUGGUAUUGGUCCAAAUGUUAGUGGUGGUACUCUUAUCCAGCCCACAGCAGGUGUGGGUGGUGGAGGAGGAAGUCGUCACAACAGCCCAGGACCUUCCCCUUCUCCAUCCUCAAGACGCCGACAUCAUCACAACUCCAACAACUUGGUGAUUGGAAGCAGUAGCCUGCGACACCAUGGCCUCCAUUCUUCACAACAGCAAGUACGUUACACUCCCCCAAGACAUGAACCACCCCGAAUUACAGUAGAGGGCUUGACUAUCGACACAAACGCUCUCUCAUUAAACAACUAUCUGCCUCAGCAGCAAACAUUUGGUAUGUAUCCGCAGCAGCAACCUAAUCAGAGUCCACACCAUAAUUAUGGACAGAGUCAAGCACUUUCACAGAUGCCAGUGGGACCAUACCAUAACAACAGCAUAGCUGACCACUCGUCUAGUGUUCCUAAUUCACCUGUGUCUCAGAGUUUUUCCCCCAUCAAUUCUCCGGGCCUUGGACCUAGCUCAUCUUUGAAUAAGAGUCCAUUCACAGAAAAUAAUAACUAUUUGUUUCACCACCACCACCAGCAGAACCACCAUGCAAAUAUUCUACAGCAUCAGUUGGAACAGUACGAUGUUGUAGGUGAAAGUUUUGAACAACCUGACCAGUUUGUUAUGCAGUUGCCAAACAGAAGUAAUACAACAUCCAAUAAGGACGUAUCAUCACCUAAUGUUUCCAAUAUAUACCACACAAAUUUUGAUUCUGUAGAUGGGUCAGGAUCACAGGUAGCUGUGGAUGUGGGUAUGGGUGAAAGAAAUCGGUUUCACUAUGCUGACCUCCAAGGUGAAGGCCUGCCCAGACCCCAGGACAGUGUAGAUACCAACAUGAUGUAUUAUGGGAUAUCUUCCACGGGAUCGGAUCCUCAUCAGCAUUCUCCAACAUUGUACUCUAAAUCUACGGUCAUCUCCUCCGUUCAUCAGUCUUCGCCCCAGACCCCUCAAACACCAACCAUUAUUCUCACAACCCCUGGAGGAGAGGAGCCCCUGAUGAGGCAGGACUUUGCCAAAGACAUUGGUUCUGCUAUGGCCAGCAUGACUGGCUCCUUUGACACAGACUUUUUCACUCCCGAUGAUGCAUUACGUGCUGGUCUGGAUCCCAUUGACUUUGAUGGAUUGCAGAUCCUUACAGAUCCCGAUAUUUCUGUAAUAAGUGAUCCAGCUACUGAGGAGACUUUUAGGCUUGAGCACUCGUAGCAGUUUCUGCCAUCCAUGUGAAGCCUCUUCCUGGGUCUGUAGAAACGCAGCCAGUUUUAACCUAAUGUGACAGUGUUCAUAAAAAAAAUAAACUGGUAAAGUUUGGAGAACACGAAGGGGAACACCAUUUCUUCUUGGUUGUACAGAAUUCCUAGCUUACAUGACAGUUGUCUAGACUAGAGGAGGACUGAACUUUUUUGUGAGUAAAUAUUUUACCUCAAGGGUGUAAAAAAAAACAGUUCAGAUAAAUGUGUUAGUAAAUGCAUGUAAAUGGAACUAUUUGGCUAGGAAAGAGUCACUGAGGAAUAAGAAUAUGUAAAAGUUGUGAUUAUUGACUUGCUGAAUGAAGCGAAACACGUUUACAGAAAUAUUGUUGAAAGGUGAUAUUGUGGAAAUAACAAUCACAAAUAAACUUAUACCUUCGUUUUGAGGUUACUUACUGAUUAACUAUUAUUUUACUAUAUAUUACAGCUUUUACAAUAAGGAAGAUUAUUUUUUAGAACAGUUACGAAAAGGAAGGAGAACAGGAGUGUUUUGUUCACAGGUAAGGGGCGUUGAAGAAUAUGGUUUUGUGGUCGAUAUACUUUUUUGUAGGUGUUAGCAACUAUUUCCAUGUUUGUGCAGAAUGAGCAAUAGUUUGACACCGUUAGUCCAAAUCUGCACAAACGUUAAAAUUUAUGUAUGUGAGAAUGAUCGAAACGUAGUUCCUGUUCUGAAAAAUAAUCUUACCAUAAAAGUUGUAAUAGCAUAAAAUUUAUACCUUCUUUACUUUUAAAACCUGUGUACUUGAGAAUGGUCACAGUAACGAUAGAAAUGUCGUACCUGUUUUUAAAAAAAAUUCCUUACUGUAAAAGCUGUAACUUGUUAAAAAAAAACAUAAUAUAUGUUAUAACUUAACAUAGAAAUAGAAUGAUCUGUUACGUGUUUUCUUUGAUCUGUUACGUCUUUCCUCGAUUGAGGAAAGGCUUUCAAUAAGCUAUUGAAUUAAUUGGUAAGUAACAGCAUCUACUAAAAAGACUUGGUUUACAAAAAAUGAAAAUAAAAAAUGGUUUUGAAUGUAAAUUUUUCAUUAAUUCCAGAAAACAAUAUGAUUCAUUUCAAGAUGAGGUGGGGGUCAAGGCUUUAACUUUUGCUGAGGUGCCUUUUUGAUGACAAAGACUUGUUGGAAAGCCAUUGUGGGCCAAAAAAUUAUAAUGUCUAGAAACUGGAAGAGCUGUUGAGAUCUGUGUUCCCAAAAUCGAUCAUCGAAUCUUUCGUUGCCUAUUUUUUCAGAAUAACACGGUUUUAACCAUAUAUUUCCUAAUGAAGGGCAUCUGCCCAAAACGUCUCAAAAAAUACAGUUGUUAUGUAAAAACGUGUGCUACCCUAGUUCAGAAUUUCAUGUAAGAGGGGGGGGGGUAUAUAUGUGCUUAUGUCAGUGGAAAAAAUAUGCUAUGGAUAAUUCACACAUGGAAUCCAGUACUGGUCAUCUGUACAAAACUGAAUUAUAGUACACUUAAGGCAGUGGAAGAAAUAUGCUAUGGAUAAUUCACACACGGAAUCCAGUACUGGUCAUCUGUACAAAACUGAAUUAUAGUACACUUAAGGCAGUGGAAAAAAUAUG
rnacentral:misc_RNA from 1 species